rnacentral:rRNA from 1 species
UACGUAGGGUGCAAGCGUUAAUCGGAAUUACUGGGCGUAAAGAGCGUGUAGGCGGCCAUACAGGUCAGCUGUGAAAACUCGAGGCUCAACCUCGAGACGUCGGUUGAAACCGUAUGGCUAGAGUCCGGAAGAGGAGAGUGGAAUUCCCGGUGUAGCGGUGAAAUGCGCAGAUAUCGGGAAGAACACCCGUGGCGAAGGCGGCUCUCUGGGACGGUACUGACGCUGAGACGCGAAAGCGUGGGGAGCGAACAGG